GGCUGCAGCCAUCUCACCUUGACCACCCGUCUCUCAUCGGGAGCUGAGCAGGGUCUGGCUCCGUCAGUACAUGGAUAGGAGACUUCCUGAGAGUAAAUGCCAGGUGCUGUUGGCU
ensembl:rRNA Gm25180 predicted gene, 25180